rnacentral:rRNA from 1 species
GACGAACGCUGGCGGCGUGCCUAAUACAUGCAAGUCGAACGGAAAGGCGCUGCUUUUGUGGGGUGGUUGAGUGGCGAACGGGUGAGUAACACGUGAGUAACCUGCCCUUGACUUUGGGAUAACUUUUGGAAACUGGGGCUAAUACCGGAUAGGAGAUUCUGCUGCAUGGUGGUGGCUGGAAAGUUUCGGCGGUUGGGGAUGGACUCGCGGCUUCUGAGCUUGUUGGUGUGGUAGGGGCUUACCAAGGCUUUGACGGAUAGCCUGCCUGGGAGGGUGACGCGCCACAUUGGGACUAAGGUAGGGCCCAGACUGCUACGUGAGGCAGCGGUGGAAAGCAUUGCGCAAUAGGCCGAAGCCAGAUACAGCGGUGUCGGGUGCGGAAUAACGGCUUUCGGGGUAUAAACAGCUUUCGACUGAAACGUGCAGAGUGUGACGGUACUUGGUCAGAAAGCAACGGCUAACUACGUG